GUUUUUAUAGUUGAAUAACAACGGUAGUUUUUCGUGCUAAGAGUUCUAGUUAAAGUCUAGGUGAAAAUU
rnacentral:tRNA from 1 species